CGUGCAGGCGGUUUGGAAAGUUGGAUGUGAAAGCUCCUGGCUCAACUGGGAGAGGACGUUCAAAACUACCAGACUAGAGGACGGUAGAGGGAGGUGGAAUUCCCGGUGUAGUGGUGAAAUGCGUAGAUAUCGGGAGGAACACCAGUGGCGAAGGCGGCCUCCUGGGCCGUUCCUGACGCUCAGACGCGAAAGCUAGGGGAGCGAACG
rnacentral:rRNA from 1 species